UACGGAGGGUGCGAGCGUUGUCCGGAAUCACUGGGCGUAAAGGGCGCGUAGGCGGCCUGAUAAGUAGGGGGUGAAAUCCUGCGGCUUAACCGCAGGGCUGCCUUCUAAACUGUCAGGCUAGAGCACAGUAGAGGCAGGUGGAAUUCCCGGUGUAGCGGUGGAAUGCGUAGAUAUCGGGAGGAACACCAGUGGCGAAGGCGGCUCUCUGGACCGGUGCUGACGCUCAGGCGCGAAAGCGUGGGGAGCAAACAGG
rnacentral:rRNA from 1 species